UACACAAAACUUGUUUUGUAAAUGACAAAACCAUGUUCCGUAUAUUCAUGAGGGUUCCGUAUAUUCAUGAGGGUUCCGUAUAUUCAUGAGGAGGAUGUUUAUUAAUGAUGAGGAGGAGACAAUUCAACGCGUGAUUGAGAUACAGUGCACAGUGCUUGAAGAAGCCGAAUGGGCCCAGAGAAGAAAAGAAGAGGUAAUUGGUGAAGAAAUAGCGACCAAAAUAUGGGCAUGUGCAUUGUCAAGCAAGUGAUUUUUAUCUUUUUGAAAUACUGACACAAAUUUACCUGAUAAAUUACAAAAUCUACUUGAUGAGGGAAUUCCUAUCAGACGGAUUGCUACAAUUUUUGAGGUUUGGCCUAACCAUAUUUAUAGAUAGAUUAUGGAACAUGAGCUAUUAGGUAUGAAAGAUAUACCCAAAUAACUGAUGGUGAGUUAAUGAACAUUAUGAAAGGAAUUAAAGUUAAUCAUCCAAAUGAUGGAGAAGUGUUGAUGGAUGGCCAUCUGAAGGCAAGUUGAAUUAAAAUCCAGCGCAAAAGACUACGGGAAGUAAUGCAUCUAGUUGAUCCCAAAGGCAUAGAAAAUAGAAAACGCAAAGUCGUGAAAAGACGCUGUUAUGGUGUUCCGUGCCCCCACUAUAUUAUGGCACGUAGAUGGAAACCAUAAGAUUUCAAAAAGAUACAAAUUUGUAAUUCAUGGUGGAAUAGAUGGGUUUUCGAGAACUGUGGUAUUCUUGAAUGUUGCUACAAAUAAUUAUGCUUCCACGGUUAAAGCUGGUUUUUUACAGGCAGCUCAUAAAUUUGAUUGGCCAAUAAGAGUUAGAACAGACAUGGGCCGGGAAAAUCAAGGUGUUUGGGAGUUACAGCAUGAGAAAUGUGGCACAGGAUCUGUGU